UUAGUACUCCCUCCGUCCGAAAAAACUUGUCCCUUAAAUGGAUGUAUCUAGCACCAAGUUAGUGGUAGAUACAUCAAUUUGAGGGACAAGCUUAGGACAAGCUUUUUUGGGUGGAGGAAGUAUUUA
rfam:Triticum aestivum genome assembly, contig: Triticum_aestivum_CS42_TGACv1_scaffold_457450_5DS